UAAUUUAUCGUAGUUCGUGCUAUUUCACAACAUUUUGAGUUUGAGCAUUGAUAACGUGGAAAGUGUUGUUGGAAUUGGCUUAGACUGAGUGUCAACUUGAAGUAUGUUUAAUUAAUUAACGAUUAAAUCAAUAAUUUCAUGAAAAAGUUUUAAUAAUUAAGAGCAACUUAUAUUUUAUUGAUGAUGCAGCUUCGUGCUAUGCUGAUCGCGGUUCGUGCUUUUGUAUGAAUCUUACUUCGUGCUACCAUACAAAAGUCAUAGCACGAAACUAGAUACAUCGAAUCAAACUUCGUGCUAUCAAAUUUUUUGCAUGUAAAUUCCCAUAAGCGAACCAAGAUCAUUUUUUGAUAGCACGGACCCAGAUAAGUUACCUUAAUAUUACAAAUCCAAAUUGAUA